GAUGAAGAACGUAGUGAAAUGCGAUACGUAAUGUGAAUUGCAGAAUUCAGUGAAUCAUCGAGUCUUUGAACGCACAUUGCGCCCCCUGGUAUUCCGGGGGGCAUGCCUGUCCGAGCGUCAUUGCUGCCCUCAAGCACGGCUUGUGUGUUGGGCCUCCGUCCCCCUCCCGGGGGACGGGCCCGAAAGGCAGCGGCGGCACCGCGUCCGGUCCUCGAGCGUAUGGGGCUUCGUCACCCGCUCUUGUAGGCCCGGCCGGCGCUUGCCGACACAUCAAUCUUUUUUCCAGGUUGACCUCGGAUCAGGUAGGGAUACCCGCUGAACUUAAGCAUAUCAAUAAGCGGAGGA
rnacentral:misc_RNA from 1 species